rnacentral:lncRNA from 1 species
AAGAAACUGCAUUUCCAGCCUAUCAGGGGGAGGCCUGUGAAGAUGAAGUUGGUUUAAGGUGAGUGACCUUCCUUGUUGUCUGUUAAUGGGAAAGAGACCGUCUGCCUCACAACCCCGACCCCGGCUGUGAAACAGAAGUGUGAAACUUGUGUUCGGCAGGCCAAGUGGUUCCUAAGGCCAAGGACGCUCUGAUUUUUAGGGAAGAGUAAAAAUAGUGGAAGACCAUCAGGUCGGGUCUGGACCUAAAACGAAAUCCUGCUCUGGCAGAGACCAGCGUAAAGGAUGGGGGGUGAGAAAAGGAAUGUUUAUUAAAUCCUGAUACCAACCAUAAUCAGGCAAUGUAUUGCUCUAAUAUCAGGAUGGGUAGAAAGUUAUUAGAUGGCACAUCAAUCACAGUACAGAUGACAAAAAUAUUGCUUGUUUUGGAAAAAUUAGAAUACAAUAAAAUACACUUGUCACAAACCAUACCAAGCUUCAUUUCAUCUUUUUUCUCUUGUUUCAGAAAGCUGUUUAGGAUUUUGCAGUCUAUCAGGGUCAUCAUUUUCAGACAUCUAUUAAUGCUGUAUUGUAGCCACGGGAGAGGUUCAGUUAAUAAAGGGCUCUGGUUGAUAGAUGGCUAGAGCAGUCUUUUGCACUAUCUUCUUCGAAUUGCUACUGAGCUAUAACAAUACGCUGAGUCCAUUUUUUGAUCGUUUU